AUUGGGUGUUAUCCUAUGGAUUGUACAAUAUAAAAACCAAGCAAGCAAGCUAACCAAAGUUUUGUUCUACAUGCAUUACGAAAUUAGCUGUAAUAUAAAAGGCAUCAUCGGAGUUUAUUAGUACAGAAUAAUUACAUAGUAAACGAUUAAUUCAACUGAACUAAAAUUGUUUGUACAUAUAUGUGCGCUCUAAACGAGCAUAAUACUUGCAACUGGAAUAUAAGCAAUUUCAGUCAAAAGUUGAUUUAUAUGUUACAGGUAAAAUUUGCAAUAACAACCGGCAUUGAACCAACUAAUACUAAUAAAUGACCACUUCAUCAUCUGUGUCCCCAUUAUAGAAUUGCCGUAAACGUUAUUGAUUUUAUUCAUGUAUUAGCGCUAAAAGUAGUGAGACGUCCUGGCGUUUAUUAGUGGAC
rnacentral:lncRNA from 1 species